rnacentral:pre_miRNA from 1 species
CCAGGAGGUUUUGGGGUGGCCUCACCUCUCAGCACGGAUUUGGAAUUGAGUCACUGGGUGACUUCCCAGCAUCCCUGUUUCCUUUGGAUCUCGGGAGGAAAAGGGAUUUUUGGGAUGAGAUUCAGUGUCGAGCUCAAAGGAUGUCUUGGUGGAGGAGGUGGCCGGAUCCUGAGCGCUGCUGG